AAGAACAGACCUCCAGAAUGAAUUAAGUUCUUAACCCGAGGUACCACUGUAUUAUUAUUAUUAUUAUUAUUAUUAUUACUACAGUGGCACCUCGGGUUAAGUACUUAAUUCGUUCCGGAG